GACGAACGCUGGCGGCGUGCUUAACACAUGCAAGUCGAACGGAAAGGCCCUGCUUUUGUGGGGUGCUCGAGUGGCGAACGGGUGAGUAACACGUGAGUAACCUGCCCUUGACCUUGGGAUAACUUCAGGAAACUGGGGCUAAUACCGGAUAGGAGCUCCUGCUGCAUGGUGGGGGUUGGAAAGUUUCGGCGGUUGGGGAUGGACUCGCGGCUUAUCAGCUUGUUGGUGGGGUAGUGGCUUGCCAAGGCUUUGACGGGUAGCCGGCCUGGGAGGGUGACCGGCCACAUUGGGACUGAGAUACGGCCCAGACUCCUACGGGAGGCAGCAGUGGGGAAUAUUGCACAAUGGGCGGAAGCCUGAUGCAGCAACGCCGCGUGCGGGAUGACGGCCUUCGGGUUGUAAACCGCCUUCGCCUGUGACGAAGCGUGAGUGACGGUAAUGGGUAAAGAAGCACCGGCUAACUACGUG
rnacentral:rRNA from 1 species